AAAGAUGACAUUAGCUGGCAUUUGGACAGUAGUGUGAGGACAAGGUGACAAAAACAAAAUGGUCAACAAGAAGUGUUUCAGGAUGGAACGUUGGGAUAAGAACCAGAGCAAAAACAAUCACAUUUAGAAGAUAAAACCACAGAAUAAUCUGGAAGCACCAUAGUGAAGAACAGGAAAACAAUAGAAUCAGGAUGAUACAAAUUUGGAGUUCCACUGCUGGAGUUCAACUCUCUAAUCUAGCAAUUAUUUCCUGUGUGGACUCAGCCUCUUUUUGCAGGAGCCCAGGCUUUCCUCCUUGUUGACGUCGCCCU